rnacentral:rRNA from 1 species
UACAGAGGGUGCGAACGUUGCUCGGAAUUACUGGGCGUAAAGCGCGUGUAGGCGGGACGAUAAGUCGGAAGUGAAAUCCCCGGGCUCAACCCGGGAACUGCUUUCGAAACUGCCGUCCUCGAGUACCGGAGAGGGUGGCGGAAUUCCUGGUGUAGAGGUGAAAUUCGUAGAUAUCAGGAGGAACACCGGUGGCGAAGGCGGCCACCUGGACGGUCACUGACGCUGAGACGCGAAAGCGUGGGGAGCAAACAGG